rnacentral:sRNA from 1 species
AACUUCCUGGCUUAUUUCUCCUUAAGUUGGAGUAAUUCAGCUCUAGCCCUACUCUGACUUAAUCGUUCUAUUAUUAAAACAAUAAUGUAUUUGUUAUGACAUGAAAAACAGUUUAUAGAGAGCAGUUCAAAACGCUCCCAGUUCCCAGAAAGACAAUUACUGGAAUACAAGAAAAUAUUUCAGUUUAUUAAACUGUAUUUUUUAAAAAAGGAUUUUUACAUGUAAGAGAUCUAUCUUACAUAGUUUCUUUACCUGUCUAUUUCUUUUUCUUUUUCUUUUUUUCAGAUCACCACAGUAUCAGGAAAUGAGUUCCUUCUACAGUCAGAUGUUGACUUCAUCAUAUUGGAUUGGUUCCACGCUAUCAAAAAUGCAAUUGACAGAUUGCCAAAGGAUUCAAGUUGUCCAUCAAGAAACCUGGAAUUAUUCAAAAUCCAAAGAUCCUCUAGCACUGAAUUGCUAAGUCACUACGACAGUGAUAUAAAAGAACAGAAACCAGAGCACAGAAAAUCUUUAAUGUUCAGACUGCAUCACAGUGCUUCCGAUACAAGCGACAAAAAUCGAGUUAAAAGCAGAUUAAAGAAGUUUAUUACCCGAAGACCUUCCCUGAAAACUCUGCAAGAA